GCGACCCCAGGAUGGGCGGGGUGACC
rnacentral:rRNA from 1 species